rnacentral:rRNA from 1 species
GAUGAACGCUGGCGGCGUGCCUAAUACAUGCAAGUCGAGCGAACAGACGAGGAGCUUGCUCCUCUGACGUUAGCUGCGGCCGGGUCAGUAACACGUGGAUAACCUACCUAUAAGACUGCGAUAACUUCGGCAAACCGGAGCUAAUACCUCAUCAUACAUUCAACCGCUUGGUUCAAUAGCGAUAGACGCUUUUGCUGUCACUUAUACACGGACCCGCGCCGCAUUAGCUAGUUGGUAAGGUAACGGCUUACCAAGGCGACGAUGCGUAGCCGACCAGAGAGGGUGAUCGGCCACACUGGAACUGGGACACGGUCCAGACUACUACGGGAGGCAGCAGUAGGGAAUCUGCAGCAGUGGGAGAAUGCCUGACAGAGCAACGCGGCAUGCGUGAGGAGGGUCUUCGGAUGGUAACAGUCUGUCAUUAGGGAAGAACAAGUGUGUAAGUGACUAUGCACGUCUUGACGAUACCUAAUCAGAAGGCCGGGGCUAACUUGGUG